rnacentral:rRNA from 1 species
GAUCAUGGCUCAGGAUGAACGCUAGCGACAGGCCUAACACAUGCAAGUCGAGGGGCGGCGAAGAGGUAGCAAUACCUUUGUCGGCGACCGGCGCACGGGUGAGUAACACGUAUGCAAUCCACCUGUAACGGGGGGAUAACCCGGAGAAAUCCGGACUAAUACCCCAUAAUAUGGGCGCUCCGCAUGGAGAGCCCAUUAAAGAGAGCAAUUUUGGUUACAGACGAGCAUGCGCUCCAUUAG